CUCCCAACAAAGGUUCGCUUUGCCGGCAUGCGGCUGAAGCUGGGCGCCGAACGAAUUCGCCCGGCCCGACGGCGGGUCGUGUUCGGGUUACAUCCGGUGGCGCCGCCGGAGCGGCGCCGUUCAACCACUUCAUCGGGAUCGCCUGAUGCAGGUGCCUCUUGUCUAUUCGUCGAAAUUCGCACAGCAACCCGUGGUGGGUCCUGAUUGGAGGUUCGAGCCGAUGGCAACUGCAUCGACUCCUGUGGUUAUAAAAGCCCGAACCACGGGACGACGACGACGACAGCAAGCAGAGGCGUGCUCCCGUUUCUCACCGCACGCUUUAGUGCGAGUCCAUUGUGCCCCGGCCUCUGAGCCGUUCAUGUAACGCCCUUGUACAUACUGCAUGUAAAUGUUUCGUUUAAUCACCGUCGCCUUGGAUCCUCCUUCGCAACAGUGGCGGCAGCGUUGAGACGUCUCCGUCGCAACAGUUGGUUGGCAGCUGCGGGAUCGACCGGCGUCAGCUACCCCGGCGCGAACUAACCCUUACCGGUGCCGAGAAGAAAGCCUGUCGGAGCUGCCAAAUAAAGCAGGUCGAGAAACUUGGGCGACAAGCCGGAGAACGAGUGACCCUGGCCUGGCGAGUGGGGCCUGUUCAUGGGAAGGAGCGUGGAGCCACCUAUUCCCCGGAGCACGGAGGGGAACCUGGAUGGGCCUGACCAACAAGCGCGCCCGGCAUCCGAGCCACGAGGGAGCAGCUCGUCUUCCUGGCGCAUGGUCUGGCGGCGGGGGUGCUGUUGUGCUAGAGCUCCCAACAAAGGUUCGCUUUGCCGGCAUGCGGCUGAAGCUGGGCGCCGAACGAAUUCGCCCGGCCCGACGGCGGGUCGUGUUCGGUUUACAUCCGGUGGCGCCGCCGGAGCGGCUCCGUUGAACCACUUCACUGGGAUGGCUUGAUGCAGGUGCCUCUCGUUCAUUCGUCGAAAUUCGCACAGCAGCCCGUGGUGGGUCCUGAUUGGAGGUUCGAGCCGAUGGCAACUGCAUGGACUCCUGUGGUUAUAAAAGCCCGAACCACGGGACGACGACGAGGACAGCAAGCAGAGGCGUGCUCCCGUUUCUCACCGCGCGCUUUAGUGCGAGUCCAUUGGGUCCCGGCCUCUGAGCCGUUCAUGUAACGCCCUUGUACAUACUGCAUAUAAAUGUUUCGUUUAAUCACCGUC